UACGGAGGGGGCUAGCGUUGUUCGGAAUUACUGGGCGUAAAGCGCACGUAGGCGGCUUUGUAAGUUAGAGGUGAAAGCCCGGGGCUCAACUCCGGAAUUGCCUUUAAGACUGCAUCGCUAGAAUUGUGGAGAGGUAAGUGGGAAUUCCGAGUGUAGAGGUGAAAUUCGUAGAUAUUCGGAAGAACACCAGUGGCGAAGGCGACUUACUGGACACAUAUUGACGCUGAGGUGCGAAAGCGUGGGGAGCAAACAGG
rnacentral:rRNA from 1 species